rnacentral:rRNA from 1 species
UACGUAGGGUGCAAGCGUUGUCCGGAAUUAUUGGGCGUAAAGAGCUCGUAGGCGGUCUGUCACGUCGGCUGUGAAAACCCGAGGCUCAACCUCGGGCCUGCAGUCGAUACGGGCAAACUAGAGUACUGCAGGGGAGACUGGAAUUCCUGGUGUAGCGGUGAAAUGCGUAGAUAUCGGAAGGAACACCGAUGGCGAAGGCAGCCCCCCUGGGCUAGCACUGACGCUCAGGCACGAAAGCGUGGGGAGCAAACAGGG